rnacentral:tRNA from 1 species
GCCAAAGUGCUGGAAUUGGCAGACAGGAUAGUCUCAAAAACUAUUGGGUGUAACAGCCCGUGUGGGUUCGAGUCCCACCUUUGGCA